GGGGUGGUGGCGGAAUGGCAGACGCAGCGGACUUAAAAUCCGCCGGGGGAAACCCCGUGUGGGUUCGACUCCCACCCGCCCUA
rnacentral:tRNA from 1 species